UUCCGGUUGAUCCUGCCGGACCUGACUGCUAUCGGAUUGAUACUAAGCCAUGCUAGUCUUUGUAGUAAUACAAGGCAUACGGCUCAGUAACACGUAGUCAACUUACCCUAUGGACGAGGAUAAUCUCGGGAAACUGAGCAUAAUACUCGAUAGAUCAUAAUGCCUGGAAUGGUUUAUGGUUAAAAUGAUUCGUCGCCAUAGGAUGGGACUGCGGCCUAUCAGCUUGUUGGUGAGGUAAUGGCCCACCAAGGCGAUUACAGGUACGGGCUCUGAGAGGAGAAGCCCGGAGAUGGGUACUGAGACAAGGACCCAGGCCCUAUGGGGCGCAGCAGGCGAGAAAACUUUGCAAUGUGCGAAAGCACGACAAGGUUAAUCCGAGUGAUUUCUGCUAAAGAAAUCUUUUGCAAGUCAUAAAACCACUAGUGAAUAAGGGGUGGGCAAGUUCUGGUGUCAGCCGCCGCGGUAAAACCAGCACCUCAAGUGGUCAGGAGGAUUAUUGGGCCUAAAGCAUCCGUAGCCGGCUCUGUAAGUUUUCGGUUAAAUCCAUGUGCUCAACACAUGGGCUGCCGAAAAUACUGCAUAGCUAGGGAGUGGGAGAGGUAGACGGUACUCGGUAGGAAGGGGUAAAAUCCUUUGAUCUAUCGAUGACCACCUGUGGCGAAGGCGGUCUACCAGAACACGUUCGACGGUGAGGGAUGAAAGCUGGGGGAGCAAACCGGAUUAGAUACCCGGGUAGUCCCAGCUGUAAACGAUGCAGACUCGAUGAUGCAUUGGCAUAUAGCCAGUGCAGUGUCGCAGGGAAGCCGUUAAGUCUGCCGCCUGGGAAGUACGUACGCAAGUAUGAAACUUAAAGGAAUUGGCGGGGGAGCACCACAAGGGGUGAAGCCUGCGGUUCAAUUGGAUUCAACGCCGGG
rnacentral:rRNA from 1 species